rnacentral:tRNA from 1 species
UGGAAUGUAGCCAAGUGGUAAGGCAUUGAACUUUGACUUCAUGAUUCGAAGGUUCAAUUCCUUCCAUUUCAA